UGGGGUGUAGCCAAGCGGUAAGGCACCAGACUUUGACUCUGGCAUUCGCAAGUCCGAAUCUUGCCAUCCCAG
rnacentral:tRNA from 1 species